CCUGGCCAGAGCAACUGCACGUGGAUGGAGGCCGGGGAUGCAGCUUGUAAGUUUCACGAGGAUAGAGGUUUUGCCUCCUUGUUCGCUGUUCUGUGCAUGACAGUGAGGGUGUCAACACAUGGCAGAUGAACGGGUGAAUGGAUAAGCACAAGACAGAGCAAGGGCUUUGAUCAGAGAAGCAGACUAGUGUUGG